GUCUAGCAUGGCUUGCGUUGAUCACAUACUAACGUGUCCGAUGUUCAACGAGUGGGUUUCCCCUCAUGAGCUGAUGGCUAGUUGGUGGUGGUUGAUCUUCCAGUGGGACGACGCAUGAGUGGUGAUUAGGAUUGUGCUUUCAUGCAGGCUCUGCGUAUUGUACGUCGAUCUGUGUGGAGCCAAUCGUUUCAGUAAUCCGUUGCGCUUGUCAUUUUCUCGUUGCAAAAUGAUUGGGUGGUUUCUGUGUUGGCUACUGAUUUCGGUAUGCGGGAUUUGAUGGAAUCCAUUGUGAUUUGUUCCUCCGGCAUUGGCUUGUCCAGUGAAGGGGGACGUCGUAUCGGUCUCCCAUGUUUCACACAAGUUAUCCCCUUAUGGGUGUGGAUUUGUGAUGGCUCAUGGGGUGGCCGUUUAUGCUCUCGGGUAUCGUGAAAUAUUCGGUCGUUGUUCGGGUUUUUGACCCAUACGUAUCAUCAUCUCUUGAGCAUGUAGCUUUAUUUUGUAGGACCCUCGAGCUUGUUCCUGAGCUCACCGAGUCGUUGUGCUUGUUGCUCAUCAGGGAGAUGCCGAGGUCUAUGAGUAAUGC
rnacentral:misc_RNA from 1 species